GACGAACGCUGGCGGCGUGCUUAACACAUGCAAGUCGAACGGAAAGGCCCUGCUUUUGUGGGGUGCUCGAGUGGCGAACGGGUGAGUAACACGUGAGUAACCUGCCCUUGCCUUUGGGAUAACUUCAGGAAACUGGGGCUAAUCCCGGAUAGGAUCUCUUGCUGCAUGGUGGGGGUUGGAAAGUUUCGGCGGUUGGGGAUGGACUCGCGGCUUAUCAGCUUGUUGCUGGGGUAGUGGCUUACCAAGGCUUUGACGGGUAGCCGGCCUGGGAGGGUGAGCGGCCACGUUGGGCCUGAGAUACGGCCCAGACUACAACGGGAGGCAACAGUGGAGAAGAGUGCACAAUGGGCGGGAGCCUGAUGCAGCAACGCCGCGUGCGGGAUGACAGCCUGCGGGUUGUAAACCGCUUUCGCCUGUGACGAAGCGUGAGUGACGGUAAUGGGUAAAGAAGCACCGGCUAACUACGUG
rnacentral:rRNA from 1 species